UACGUAGGGCGCAAGCGUUGUCCGGAAUUAUUGGGCGUAAAGAGCUCGUAGGCGGUUUGUCGCGUCUGCUGUGAAAACCUAAGGCUCAACCUUGGGCUUGCAGUGGGUACGGGCAGACUAGAGUGCGGUAGGGGUGACUGAAAUUCCUGGUGUAGCGGUGGAAUGCGCAGAUAUCAGGAGGAACACCGAUGGCGAAGGCAGGUCACUGGGCCACUACUGACGCUGAGAAGCGAAAGCAUGGGGAGCGAACAGG
rnacentral:rRNA from 1 species